GAGAGACGUCUGGCAAAAUGAGUCUGAUGAAGUUGGUGCGACAAACAGCCAUUUAAUGAUAUGACUGCACUUCUGAAAAUCAGGAAGAAGAGACGAUUGUUAGAA